rnacentral:rRNA from 1 species
GGGGGGGGCAAGCGUUGUUCGGAAUUACUGGGCGUAAAAGGCUCGUAGGCGGCCAACUAAGUCGGACGUGAAAUCCCUCGGCUUAACCGGGGAACUGCGUCCGAUACUGGAUGGCUUGAGUUCGGGAGAGGGAUGCGGAAUUCCAGGUGUAGCGGUGAAAUGCGUAGAUAUCUGGAGGAACACCGGUGGCGAAGGCGGCAUCCUGGACCGACACUGACGCUGAGGAGCGAAAGCCAGGGGAGCAAACGGGAUUAGAUACCCCGGUAGUCCUGGCCCUAAACGAUGAAUGCUUGGUGUGGCGGGUAUCGAUCCCUGCCGUGCCGAAGCUAACGCAUUAAGCAUUCCGCCUGGGGAGUACGGUCGCAAGGCUG